AUUUUAAACUUCUGUUUGUUUGCAGAAUAACACAAUUUGGAAGCCAGAUUCUUGCCAAGACUGCAGUUGCCAAAGCAAUGUUGUCACCUGUGAGCCUACUGUCUGCAAACAUCCUCAUUGUGACUUUGAGAAGGGAGAAGUGCUCCAAAUAGCCCCAAACAAAUGUUGCCCUGAGUGUGUCUCACAAACUGAAGGAUAUUGCCAGCAUGAAGGACAGAUCCACAGCCACGGCACGCAGUGGGCCAGCUCUGGAUGUGUCCUGUGCUCCUGUGCCCAUGGGAAGGUGAGCUGCACCCCCAUAGCCUGCCCAGUCCUCACUUGUGGAAGAGGUGAGAUGCCAUACAUUGCCCAGGGAGAAUGUUGUCCCUCGUGUGUGGGCCUUGGUGGUGAGUAUCAUGUGUGAACAGGCUACACUCUGGCUCCAGUGAUCCAAGUAGUAUCUCCCUGGCUGGAAAUAUCCUUCUGGUCGCAAAUUUAGAAAGCUUUUCUUUUUGUGUUCAGUUCCAUUGAAAAGACACUGGGGUCAAGUGUUUUGCUUUAUUCUCUUUCCAUCUUCCUACCAUAUUUGUAUUUUUAACAGUUUCACCCACAGGUCAAUAGCAAGUAGUAAGAUUGCAGCAGUAAGCUGGUGCGCCUAGUAUGUCUUU